rnacentral:rRNA from 1 species
UCAAGCGUUUAAGGGCGAUUGGCGGAUGCCUUGGCACUGUAAGACGAUGAAGGACGUGGUAUACUGCGAUAAGUUUCGGGGAGCUGUAUGCAGGCUUUGAUCCGAAAAUUUCCGAAUGGGGAAACCCAACACUUCGUGUGUUACUUUAUACUGAAUUCAUAGGUAUAAAGAGUGAACCUGGAGAACUGAAACAUCUAAGUAACCAGAGGAAAAGAAAUCAAUUGAGACUCCGUGAGUAGUGGCGAGCGAAAGCGGACUAGGCCAGCAACUUAGUUUAGACAAUUUGAAUAGUUUGGAAAAACUAACCACAGAGGGUGAUAGUCCCGUAAAAGUAAUGCUAAUUCUAAGUUCUUGAGUAAAGCGGGACACGUGAAAUCCUGCUCGAAUUUUGGGGGACCACCCUCUAAGCCUAAGUACUCUACAGUGACCGAUAGUGAACUAGUACCGUGAGGGAAAGGUGAAAAGAACCCCUAUUAGGGGAGUGAAAUAGAACCUGAAACCGAUUGCCUACAAACAGUCGAAGCUCUUUUUAGAGUGACGGCGUACCUUUUGUAUAAUGGGUCAGUGACUUAAUUUGUAUAGCAAGCUUAAGCCGAUUAGGUGGAGGCGCAGCGAAAGCGAGUCUUAAUAGGGCGUUUAGUUAUAUGAAUUAGACCCGAAAACGAAUGAGCUUACCAUGAGCAGGUUGAAAGUUGGGUAACACCAACCGGAGGACCGAACCAGUUGACGUUGAAAAGUCUUUGGAUGACUUGUGGUAAGGGGUGAAAGGCCAACCAAAUUCGUAGAUAGCUGGUUUUCCGCGAAAACUAUUUAGGUAGUGCGUUGAAUAAACAUACUUUUGGAGGUAGAGCACUAAAUGGGCUAGGGGGGAGAAAUCCUUACCAAACCUAAUAAAACUCCGAAUGCCAAAAGUAAUUCCUCAACAGACAGACUGUGGGUGCUAAGGUCCAUGGUCGAGAGGGGAACAGCCCAGAUCACCAGAUAAGGUCCCUAAAUCAUGAUUAAGUGUGAAAGGAUGUGGAGAUUCCUUAACAGCCGGGAGGUUGGCUUAGAAGCAGCCAUCCUUUAAAGAUAGCGUAACAGCUCACCGGUCUAAUAGAGUUUCUGCGCCUAAGAUGUAACGGGGCUCAAAUCAUGUACCGAAUCUGUGGGUGUAUAAAGUUUUCGAAUUUUAUACGCGGUAGCGGAACGUUCUGUAAGCCUGUAAAGGGAUACCCGCGAGGGAUCCUGGAGGUAUCAGAAGUGCGAAUGCUGACAUAAGUAACGAUUAACAGAGUGAAAAACUCUGUCGCCGAAAAUCCAAGGGUUCCUGCGCAAGGUUAAUCCGCGCAGGGUUAGUCGGCCCCUAAGACGAGGGCGAAAGCCGUAGUCGAUGGGAACCAGGUUAAUAUUCCUGGACCAGAUGGUAGUGACGGAUUUUGUAAAUUGUUAACUCUUAAUGGAUUGAGUUAGCUGUGAAAAAGUCCCAGGAAAUAGCUCCAUCAUAAGACCGUACCCUAAACCGACACAGGUGGAUUAUUAGAGUAUAAUUAGGCGCUUGAGAGAAUGAUGUUGAAGGAACUCGGCAAAAUGCCUCUGUAACUUCGGAAGAAAGAGGACCUAUUUUUGGGCAACCAUAAAUAGGUGGCACAAGCCAGGGAGAAGCGACUGUUUAUCAAAAACACAGGACUCUGCUAACACGUAAGUGGAUGUAUAGGGUCUGACGCCUGCCCGGUGCUGGAAGGUUAAUGCGAUGGGUGCAAGCUCAUUUCUGAAGCCCCAGUAAACGGCGGCCGUAACUAUAACGGUCCUAAGGUAGCGAAAUUCCUUGUCGGGUAAGUUCCGACCUG